rnacentral:rRNA from 1 species
GAUGAACGUUGGCGGCGUGCCUAAUACAUGCAAGUCGAGCGAACGGACGAGAAGCUUGCUUCUCUGAUGUUAGCGGCGGACGGGUGAGUAACACGUGGAUAACCUACCUAUAAGACUGGGAUAACUUCGGGAAACCGGAGCUAAUACCGGAUGAUAUUUUGAACCGCAUGGUUCAAAAGUGAAAGACGGUCUUGCUGUCACUUAUAGAUGGAUCCGCGCUGCAUUAGCUAGUUGGUAAGGUAACGGCUUACCAAGGCAACGAUGCAUAGCCGACCUGAGAGGGUGAUCGGCCACACUGGAACUGAGACACGGUCCAGGCUCCUACGGGAGGCAGCAGUAGGGAAUCUUCCGCAAUGGGCGAAAGCCUGACGGAGCAACGCCGCGUGAGUGAUGAAGGUCUUCGGAUCGUAAAACUCUGUUAUUAGGGAAGAACAUAUGUGUAAGUAACUGUGCACAUCUUGACGGUACCUAAUCAGAAAGCCACGGCUAACUACGUG